GAGUAACACGUGACCAACCUGCCCUCGAGUGGGGAAUAACUCCGGGAAACCGGAGCUAAUACCGCAUAACAUCGCAAGAUCAAAGCCGCAAGGCGCUUGAGGAGGGGGUCGCGGCUGAUUAGCUAGUUGGUAGGGUAAUGGCCUACCAAGGCGAAGAUCGGUAGCCGGCCUGAGAGGGCGCACGGCCACACUGGAACUGAAACACGGUCCAGACUCCUACGGGAGGCAGCAGUGGGGAAUUUUGCGCAAUGGGGGAAACCCUGACGCAGCAACGCCGCGUGGAGGAUGAAGUCCCUUGGGACGUAAACUCCUUUCGACCGGGACGAUACUGACGGUACCGGAAGAAGAAGCACCGGCUAACUCUGUGCCAGCAGCCGCGGUAAUACAGAGGGUGCGAGCGUUGUUCGGAAUUAUUGGGCGUAAAGGGCGCGUAGGCGGUGCGGUAAGUCACCUGUGAAAUCUCCUGGCUCAACUGGGAGCUUGCAGGCGAAACUGCCGUGCUGGAGUGUGGGAGAGGUGCGUGGAAUUCCCGGUGUAGCGGUGAAAUGC
rnacentral:rRNA from 1 species